rnacentral:rRNA from 1 species
AUGUUGAACGACGUUUACAACACUCUUGUCGCCAGAAACAAGUAUAGAGGUUUGCGUUCGACACGUCAUCGUGACGUGAAUGAUACCGGCGGUACAAAGAUAAGGAUAGGUCAAGCUUCUGUAACAGAAAGAGAGUUUGUACAAUGCCUAAUGCCAAAAGGAAAGAUGUGCCAAAACAUGAUGUGGUUAAUGUCUGUUGCAAUGAUGCAUGAUUGGGGAUCAAAGACCAAGGUUAUUUUGGACCAGACAAUUAUAAAGCUUAGUAAGUUGUCACUUGAAAAUCUUGAGCAGCUAUACCUCCCGACACUAUUUGACAACCAUUGGAUAUUGGUUGUCAUUAACUUCACACAAAAUACAAUUGAAAUUUAUGACUCUAACAAGAAGGUAAAAGAAGGUGAAGACCCACACAAGGUUAUCUUGGACAACAUGUGUACCAAUCUGCAAGAAGCAUUGACUGCUAUUCUCAAUCAGAGUGCUAUCAAUUUUAUCCAUUUCCCAAGGAAGUAUUGCUAUGCUGGAAAGCAAACAAACAAUGAUGACUGCGGUUUCUGGGUUAUUAAAGUCCUAUUGUGUCACAAUGGCAAAGGGCUGGUCGGAAAUUACAAGUGGGAAAUGGAUGUCUUCCGGAAGGAAAUAUGUUACAUACUGGUUUAUCACCGCUUCAAUGAUCUCAACCCAAGAAGGCCUGCGAUCCAGAAGAUAGCAUCCUCCGUCCAGACAAUAGUCGAAUGA